AUUGAACGCUGGCGGCAGGCCUAACACAUGCAAGUCGAGCGAGCGGCGGACGGGUGUGUAGUGCCUGGGCAUUGCGCAGUCGAGGGGGAUAACAGUUGGAAACGACUGCUAAUCCCGCAUACGCUUGGAUUGCCCAGGUGGUAUUAGCUAGUUGGUGAGGUAAAGGCUCACCAAGGCGACGAUCCCUAGCUGGUCGGAGAGGAUGAUCAGCCACACUGGAACUGAGACACGGUCCAGACGCCUACGGGAGGCAGCAGUGGGGAAUAUUCGGCAAUGGGCGAAAGUCUGACCGAGCAACGCCGCGUGAGUGAAGAAGGUCUUCGGAUCGUAAAUCACUGUUAUUAGAGAAGCGGUACCUAAAGAAGAAGCAACGGCUAACUACGUGCCAGCAGCCGCGGUAAUAC
rnacentral:rRNA from 1 species